rnacentral:misc_RNA from 1 species
GAAAUGCGAUAAGUAGUGUGAAUUGCAGAAUUUAGCGAAUCAUCGAAUCUUUGAACGCACAUUGCGCCCCUUGGUAUUCCAUGGGGCAUGCCUGUUCGAGCGUCAUUUCAACCCUCAAGCACUGCUUGGUGUUGGGCGUUUGUCCCGCCUACGCGCGUGGACUCGCCCCAAAGUCAUUGGCAGCUGUUCCCCUUCGGCUCGUAAGCGCAGCACAGUCGGCGCCCGGAGCUCUGGUGGGAUGGCGUCCAGCAAGCUAUAUUUUCAGGCUUGACCUCGGAUCAGGUAGGGAUACCCGCUGAACUUAAGC